rnacentral:rRNA from 1 species
UACGGAGGGUGCGAGCGUUGUCCGGAUUUAUUGGGUUUAAAGGGUGCGUAGGUGGCUUUAUAAGUCAGUGGUGAAAUACAGCCGCUCAACGGUUGAGGUGCCAUUGAUACUGUAGAGCUUGAAACAAGUGGAGGCUGCCGGAAUGGAUGGUGUAGCGGUGAAAUGCAUAGAUAUCAUCCAGAACACCGAUUGCGAAGGCAGGUGGCUACGUUUGAUUUGACACUGAGGCACGAAAGCAUGGGGAGCAAACAGG